UUGAGCAAAUUGGUCAGGAUCUUGGUGAAGAUGGAUGGUUAUUUUAACUUGGAAGAGAGUGCAUCACAAAUCACUUACUGGAAGAAGGAAAAGGGAAAGUUUGACGCAGUGAUCCUGGUUUACCUGUAAACCACACAGAAGCAAGAUGGAGGAAUGACUGGAGACCAACUCCCCACCUGCCAGACUGAAUCCAGAGUAUUUAGCCAGUUACCGGCUCAUCAUGCUGAUCAUUUGUCUCUCAGGUUUUGGAAAAAGCAUUGAUGUUGACUGCUAGUUGAUAAAGGGGAAGAAAUAGGUUCUUUGGGCAGCAGCAACCAAGAAAACAAAGGCUUCCCAAAGUCACACAUGCAACCGGGCACUAUCAGGGCUGUUGGAAAGUUUCCAAGGACAGGGAGGCUGAUCCCAUGAAAUGAGGCUGGACAGGAAGUCCUCCCAACGAGGUUCUCAUGCAAAUGAAGAAGAGUGGGAAGUGCCCGAAGACAGGAGGCUGCCUGCCAGCGACUCCAUGGGCUUAAGCUGUUUGCAGUUCAUGUGUGUAAUUUUUAAAGCUAGACCUACCCCUGAAGAUGAGUACAAGAGAGAAAGACAGGGCUCCAAAAAUACUGCCACAGGCUUAAGUUCCAAAGUGCUGGAGUUACAAAAGGAUAAAGGAAAACACAAAGGACUUUUUAGCCAAAGAAGAACCAGAAAGGUUCUGAGCACUGAUUUCAUCAAGCCAAUGGAAGCAAAAGUAAGUAUGAAUCCAGUCUCCGUGUGUUGGUUAUUUCAGAGAAAGUUCAAUGAUAAUGACCUUCAUGUUCUUUAAAUAAGCAAAUUGUCAGAUGCAAAUAACUAUCACUCAAAUCAGUACAUGAAAUAAGUGAAGCCUCACAAUUUUUGCUUUUUGCCAAAAUACACUAAAAAAUGGACAGUGACCCAAAUGACAUUUGACAUUCCUUUGACAAAGGAAUCUCAAUCAAUAAAGGGUAUGAUAAUAUUCAGUAACGGCAUUCCACUUGGCUCCCUUUACCCUCUGCAAACAAUAUACAUUCCCAAAGUGUUAUCCUAUUGGGGAAAAUAUAAUACACACAGGCAGGCACACACACACACACACACACAGAAACACACACAUGUACAUAGGCACAUAUACAUAGAAUACUGGGUUAAUGAAGCUUAUGAGAGAAAACCAAUCAUUAUAGACUAAGGAAAAGCCCUGUGCUGUCUCAAUACUUUUUUAUUCCUAUAAAAGUAUUUUACAGUCACAUGAGGUAACUAAGAACUAGGUUUCACUCCAAAAUAAUUACUUUUCAGGAAGCAUUGUCCUCAUUUUUGGUUCAGAGGAUUAUUACGUCGUGUCAUGUCUUAUUGUUAAAAGUUCUUAACAUUACUGAUUAUAGAUUUAGGUAACAAAUGAAUCCUUUGGGAUGCAUUCCGUACACAAACCAAACCACAAAUAUUUUUAGAUAUUUCAUUUGUUAAGAAUGCUUCAAAAUUUCAAUGCUUAUACUGGAAAUGAAGGAAGAAGCAAACUUUAGAACUAGGGAGAGGGACAGCUCUGAAAUCCACAUUUAUAUACUCUGCAUUGAUCCAUUCAUAUAUGUAUAACUUCAGACAUUCGUUCAUGAAACAUGUAUCAAGCAUCAACUGCAUUCCAGAAUGGGUUGUCCUUUAAAAUUGUCUUAACUCAGAGUAAUAGGAUAUUUUUUUUAUUGCUGGUUGAAGGGGCUCCCCAAAAAGGCACAGCUUUAAGAUGAUAAUGCAUUUAAUCCGCCCGUAACUAGCACAUAGUCUAUGCCCAACAAAAUACAAAGGCAAAUAAGAAAUGUUCCCUCAGAUAACUUGCUUGGCUGGAUCUCAUAUCCAAACCAGAAUCUCGUAUUAUGUAACUCCAUAAGCUUCUGUAUUUAUCAUCACUGGAAUGUGUUUAAAUAAGACCAUCUGUGAAAGUAUUGCAAAAACAUAUCUAUUAUCAUUCUGAUUCAUUUAUAGAUGAUUUUCUUCAGAUGUUUGAAAACAUAAAGUUUCAACACAUGUGAAAAAAAAUCACUUCUUACUGCUUGGUUGUCUUUGUUUAUCUUAAAAAUUGGUUUUAUUUCAUCUAAAGGCCAAACGCAUCCCAAAACAACUAGUUAUAUAGUGAUCAUUUACAGAAAUUAAUCAGGACAAGGCUUGAAUUAUCUAAAAGAGCUAAGAAAGGUUUAUAUAGCAGUUUAUUGAAAUAUAAUUCAUCUAUUGUAAAAUGCAUCUUUAAAGGGUAUAAUUCAGUGAUUUUUAGUUUCUUCACCUAACUCUAAAACCAUUGACACUAUCUUUUAUCAUCCCAAAAUAAAGCACGUUAGCAGUCCCUCUUCACUUUCUCCAAAGCUUCCCCAAAGCCCUUGGCCUCCACUACUCAACUUUCUGUGUUUAUGGAUUUACCUGUUAUGAACAUUUCCUAUAAAUAGAAUUAUAUAAUAUGUGGCCCAUUAAUACUGCCUCUUUCACUUAGCAUAGUGCUUUCGAGGUUCAUCUGUGUUAAGGCAUGGAUCAGAACCUCAUUCUUUCUAUAAAAUGUCAAAUAAUAUUCCAUUGCACAGACAUACCACAUUUUGUUUAUUCACCCAUCUGUUGAUGAACGUUUGCAUUGUUUCUAAUUUAGCUAUUCUGAAUAAAGCUGAUAAGAAUAUUCGUGUACAAGUUUUUGUGCAGACGUAAGUUUUCAAUUCUCUUGGGUCUAUAUUUAGGAGUAGAAUUACUGGGUCUUAUGUUAACUCUAUGCUUGACAUUUUGAGGAACUGUCAAACUGUUUUUCAAUGUGGCUGCCCUAGUUUACAUUCCUACCAGCAAAGUAGGAGGGUUCCAAUUUCCCCACAUCCUCACCAACACUUGUUUCAGAAAGAUUUCUAUACUGGCAUGUGAAUAAAGUGUCUUAAUUUCUAAGAAUAGAAUCAAUUCAUUUCAAAGAAUAUAAUAAAAGCACAAUAUGCCAAUCUUAUUUAUGGGGAGAUUAAAAUAGUAUCAUUUUUCAUCCUGACAGUUUCUCAAAUCCCUGCACCAGGAUUCUAGGAAGAGAAUCUCUUGCAGCCAUUGUAUAUUCUCCCUGUGGUACAGUAAUUCUUAAACUUUCCCUGCUGCAGGAAGGAGCGUCAUUUGGGGGUCUUCAGUGAACAUCUCUCCUGCAGAUAAAGAAUAUAGUGUCCAAGCUGUGAGCAAUCAAGUGACAUGUGUUCCUUAGGGCUGCAAGGUUGGAGAGCUUUUAUUUGAUUCCCAUCUCAUGGAGGUUAUUUAUGUAUCCUAACUGGAAUUUUGACUCUUGUUACGAUUACUAUGUAUCUUUUAUGAAGCCUAUGCUCAGUCAUUUGAUAAAUUUUAUAGUGUUAAUGACCAAAUAUUUCCCUUAGACGUAUUCCUUAGGGAAAAUUAAGAUGCAUAGCAUGCUUCAAGAUGAUGGCCAAGAAAAACCAACUCAACGAGCCUUCAAGAAUUCAUGAUUUGAAUAUCAUGUUCAAGAAGGUGAGCUGGAGAGGAAGUAUCAGGUCUCGAUCAUCUUUAUAUCCCGAGGGCUUACCGUGCAAUAGCUACAGACAUCAGCAAACUUGAGAGAAGAAGGUUUGCUCUGGGAGAUUCCACAUAUGACCCGUUUAUAUGUAAUUAUAUUAUCUAUUACUCAAGUAUUUGUCUUGUGCUGUCUAAAUUAUAAGCUUCUCAACUGUUUGCCUUGAGUGAGAUGUGCGUGCUAAAGCCUCUCAAUAAAUAUUAAUUGAAUGAGUAAUUGAAAAAAAACCCUGACUGCCUUUUUACUUAAAUCCAAGCCUUUGCUAAGUUUUCACUUUUUCUUGAUCACACAAUCACUUACAAUUCACAAAUGAAAAAGUAUGAUAAAUGGUGAAUCACUUUUCAUUUUAAAUUCCACUUUAAAUUUUGUUCCUAGCACAAACAUCACAGAUUUUAUAUGGUUUAUGUAUUUAACUUUCAACUCAAUCUAGAAAGUGAUCUUAGCAAAUCCCUGAGUUUCCCUUUCCAGGACUCUCUAAUUCUGUCUGUUCAUUUAACCCGGUUUGAUUGGAAUCAUGCAUUCUUCCCUCUGCCUGACUCAGGUGACCAGUGAGGUGACCAGUGGUUAUGAAUGGGAGAGUAGAUGACGCUCCAUUCUGGGGAGAUUUGACUUAGUGCCCUUUUUUUUUUUUUUUUUUUAAGAUCUAGUUCAAAAGUAGUCAAGUAGAAAAAUGGGUGCAUUCUUGCUUCCAAACUACUGACAUUCAUGAUUGAACUCUGUAGCUUAAAUCACUUAAAUCUGUAGCUUAAAAGACUUAAAUCACUGUUGGGGCUACAAAGAAAGAAAACAGAGGAUUGGCCAGGGCAAAGCCACGCAUUGGUUUCUGCCACCCACGGGCACCUCAGGGUCGAAAUCUACACUUAUGAGCCCCACUCAAGGGCCAUUUCCUCCUUGAUAGAAACUCUGUUUCUCUAUCUGGCUGGUUAUAAUGAUGUUGUGAGCACAGAUCGAGACCUCCACUUAAAUAAAAACAAAUCUACAUGUGGAGAGGUCUUAUUAAAAAAAUGAACUCAAAACUUCAAAAAUGAAUAUAUUUCUCUAGCCAAUUUUAUAUUUGAUAAGAGGAUUAAUCAAAUUUGGCAUAAUGAGAACAUUUAUGAUGCGGGAACAUUUCAAAACAAGUGUGUUUUGUUUAUUUUCUUUUGAAACGGAAGAAAAUCUAGGAAAAGGUGGCUAGUUGCUGAAUCCCACAAAUGAAGGGAGAAUAGAGAUUUUCUUUUGAAGACAGAGGAAGAGAAGUGAUUUUUUUAUUAGCAUACUUUGAAAACAACUUGAAACUGGAAGUGUUUUUCAUGCUUUUAGCAGGUCCAGGCCCAAAGUAAACAAUUCUAAUGAAAUAGUACAGGACAUAGUAUAGUGGAUAUAUGACAUGUUUCACGGGUGAAGCAUUCAGGAAAACAGUUUAAUGUAUCAUUUUGCUACAGGUUCUCCGGCAGUCGACAGCCCUCCCCAUCUCCAUCCCUGCACCAUCCCCGCACACUAUUUAUGUAUUUUCAUUUGCAUGAACCUACUCUGAGGUUUUGCCUGGUUGAUUUUUCAAGUUAAUGACAGGGCACUUGGGGAAAGAUUAAUGUUAGGAAUGCGGAGGUUCAGCAAAUUGUUGAAGAGUUUCACCAUACAAUUAAUCUCUCUUUGCCACAUUACAAAAGUGCAAGGGAUGGAUGCAGGGAAGUGGUAAUGAUGCUGCUAUCACAGGUCUCUAAGAGCCGGGGGAGUCAGCUAUAAAGAUGAUGGGAAGACGACUUUCUGCUCUCAGAAGGAUUUAUAUAUCAUCCCCUGUCCCCUGUGCCAUCCAUCCUUGCCAAGUGAACGUGGUACCCCUUUGCUGUUUCCCAUUCAGCUGUCACUGACUGGAUGAGAGUCCUCUAAGGAGCACUACAGAGAGCAGAGACCAUCUCAGUUAAGACGACCGCCAAGCCCCCCAGUCCAUGGAUGCCCCUAAUAUCAUCUCUUUAUUUCCAGCUUUCUCAUCAUUUUGUUGCUGACAAUUCCAUUUCUGCAAUGUGCUCUGUGAAUUAAGUACCUCUGCCCUCCAAGGCAGUAUUUUGUCAGAGACGAGGGUGAUGUUCAAAAUAGUUAACUGGUAUGUCCCAGAAACGGAUCUAUGAGAAAGGACACAGUUUCCAGCUAAAUCCUUCUUAAUCUCUUAGUUACUGGGUCUUCAGGUUCUGGAGUGCCUAGAGAGGAAGAGGGAUGCUGAGACCGCGGAAGUUGGGAGAACGCCAGGUACUUGGGGCCGUGCUAAAAGUGCUUCAAUACUGCAUCAGCCUUGGAAGUAGCAAAAUCUGUUGUUGGUCUUCUCUGCUUCUCUUUUCCAGCCUCUCAACUGAGCAUAUCCAGCUCCGGACCUUGAGGCAUCUCAGUAAAAUGUUAACCCAGAUACGUCCCCUCUCCUGGAAUAGGCUUGACAGAGACUGGUCACGACGUCCUCCUUCCCCCAGCCCAGAGGACUGGGAGGUCUCUUGCUCACUGGGUCCCCUGAACAAGGAAGGCAGUGCUCCCUCAAAUCACAGAAGCUUUCCAUCCCCAGCCGUGCCCAGCCAGCACCCUCACUGCUUCAGAUGUGCCAUGGGCUGUGGGCUGGCAGCUUGAAGACGUGCCUUGGGAUUAUCAAGCCCAAAUAUGCACAUUGCUUUCUGAAAGGAGAACAUCAACAAUUUUUCCCCUCUAACUCCAGAUACAUAGUAAUUCUGGAAGAAAAGUGUCACAUUCAGAGGGGAAGCCACCUUGUUCUCAGGAUGGGCAGGAGCUGAGUGGGGCUGAGUCCCUGGGGAAGGUAUUGCCACACCAACCCUCUCAAGAGGAGCAGAUCACAGCUGACAGGGCACGAGAAGCAGGGGACCUGGACCCCCGGAAGUACGGCGGGAUCCAGGGAGAAGGAACUUAAAGAUAGCUGGAGCUUCCUCUUAAAAACGGGGCUUCUCACUCUCUAUGACAGGCAGAGAGAUCUGUUAUAAACAUUUGGACAGUGGCUUUCAAGCACAGUUUUUGAACAGUACACCUCCUCUCAUAUGAAUUUGAGGACUGCCUCUAUCACUAAGGGUGGACCUUCAAGAUUUUGAGCAGCUAUCAGACUUGAUUUCUUUAAAUCCCUUUGUCAUCCCAUCUGAGAUUUUGGUGAGACAAAUAUCUGACUCUGUGAGUCUUUUUGCGCUGCUACAACAAAACACCAGAGGCUGGGUAAUUUAUGAGUAAUAAAAAUCUACGUCAUGGUUCUGGAGGCUGGAAAAUCUGAGAUCAAGGCACCUGCAGGUUUGUAGCUGGUAAGGACUCACUUCUGCCUCCAAGAUGGCGCCGUGAACUCUGUGUCCUGACAUGGCCAAAAGGAUGCAAGGGCAGAGAUGGUCCUGAGCUAGCUCCCUCCAGUCUUCAUGACUUAAUCACUUCCCCAAAAGGCCCCAUCUCCUAAUACCACCACUCUGGGGAUUAAGUUUCAAUGGGAAUUUUGGUGGGGACACCAUCAUUCAAACCAUAGUAGACGCAAACAAACAAAACUUACAGACUCGUGCUGGACUGUGACUAGUUCAGAUGUCCUUGGUCUCAUUUAUAACUUCAUAUAUGUGUGAGGAUCUUAGUUCUGGGACGAAAUCCCACUGUGAACUCUACCGCCAUGCCAGGACCCCAGUGAGCCGGCAGCCCCUCCCAGUGCCUCUCCGCCAGACCACCCAGCUCUGCACAGGUGGAUGGCCUGACACGGCAUGUGGCAUCAGUCAAUGUGUGUGUUUAUGUCUGUGCCUGCAUGUUUAAAUCUCAGGCUUGAGAGCUUGGAGGAUCCCUGGGAGGGCCUUUCACUCCAUUCCUCUACCUGCACAGCCCAGAAAGAAAUCUAUUUAGAAAAUUCAAAAACCUCUUUGUUGAUGCAAGGAAGAAAAAGACAUAACUUCUCUUACUUUAUCCUCUCCUCAUCUUUGUGGUUGAGAGGUGAUUCAUUCAUUAUUCCACCCUUGGGGUGCGGAGCGUGCCUUACGCAGAGGCCUCGGCCACACCCCAGUCGAAGAAGAGAGGGUCAGACACAGCGUAGCUAUGGCCAUUAUCUUUUCCACAAAAACACUCCUGUUAGAGUCUCAGGGUGGAAGUAUCUUCAGUGCGUUUUUGUUUUUAUUUGCUGCCAAGGCUAUAAGUCAAUAUUGUCACGGUGGUGUGGUCAGAAGCCCCAACUCCACCCGUCCCAUGUCUCAUAGCUAUAUAGACUUGGAAGCUGGAAAGCUUUCGACGGAUCCUCACAGCUACUCAGAGGAUUGGCCUUAGCAUCCUACAGAGGUGGCGUCAAGGUCCCAGACCAGCAGGCACAUUGUUUUCAACUGUACAGCUUGUGAGCUACCUUUCUCUUGGUUCCCAUGACAACUUCUGUGGCAAGGAAAAGUGAGAAACUAUAGCUGACCCUUCAAUAACAGGGUUGACUCACAUGUGAAUUUUCCUCCGUGAAUGCCACCCCUGAAACAACAAGACCUCUUCCCGCUCCUCAGCCUGCUCCCCACGAAGAAGAUGAGAAUGGAGACCUUUACGAUGACGCACUUCCACUGAAUAAGUGGUAAAUGUAUUUUCUCUUCCUUAUGGUUUUCAUGGUAACAUUUUUUUUCUCUAGGUUACUUUAUUGUAAGAAUACAGUAUAUAAUACAUGUAAUAAAUACAAAUAUGUGUAAUCAACUCUUUAUGCUAUCAGUGUGACUUCUGGUGAACAGUAGGCUGCUGCUCACAGUUUUGGGGGAGUCAAAACUCUACUUAGAUUUUCUACUGUGUGGAGGUCAGUGCCCCAACCCCUGUGUUGUUCCAAGGUUAACUGCACUGUCCAUUACAAAAAUGAGGUCCUGUCACUUUUCGCCUCUAAAACUCACUCAAUAUUUAGGGUGCUAAGUACAUCUUUCUAAGCAGUGUAAAAAGAUGAAGGGCCCUUCCAUUAACCCAUGUGCUGGGAAUCUCAGUUUCUUCCUCCUCAGCCACACUUCCUGCUGAAGUACAGCUCUGUCCUUAACAGUCCUGGAGAAAGGGCCCUCCCCUAUGAAGCUGCCCCUCCCUGCCUGCUGCCAGCCACAGCUGAUUGCAUCCUGUGUUGAAAUACAGAGGCUGAGGCCAUGAGAGCUGUGAAGUCAGAGAUCAUCCUCAUUGUUGGUGGAUUCCUUAUCUGCCAAUCUUCAGACUCCCUGCAUUUGCUUGGAGCCCCAACAUCAAUACCCUUAGUGCUUUCCUGACCCUAUGAGGGUGCGCACAGAGCAACAAAACAUUUAGCCACUGGCUGCUCAUGAUCUCACCUGAGGUCAAACAGAGCAACACCCUGGCUUCUUGUUUCAUUGGUCAUCCUAUAUAAAUAAGUGCCUUUUGCUUUUACAGUCCAUUUCAUACCACAUUUUUUGCAUUUUUGUGCUGUGUGUUGGUGAUUUCGCUGUUUAGAACGGCCACCAAGUGUAGUAAUGAAGUGCUGUCUAAUGUUCCUGCAUUCAGGAAGGCAGUGAUGUGGCUGAUGGAGAAUGGAUAUGAGUUAGAGGAGCUUGGUUCAAGAGUGAGUGACAGCUCUGCUGGCUGUGAGCUCAGUACUUAUGAAUCAGUGAAUAUGUAUUAAAUAUGGUGUUGUGAAACAGAAACACACAUAAAGCAAGUUUAUUACUUACCAGGUAAUGAAAAUCUUGUGACUGGAGGUUCACAGGAAGGUACCCUUCUAUUUUCACUGGAAGCAGUGAUUUAGUAUUCAGUAAUUUAGAAUUCCUGGCAACUUUAUAGAAGAUAACUACUGUGAGGAAUGAGAAUCAACUAGAAACUGGUCAAGCCAGGUAGAAGCAAGGAAUCCUGACCCACAGAGAGGGCUAGAGUCUAGAUGUUUACGCUCAGAAUCCUGACCCGCAGAGUCUAGAGUCUAGAUGUUUACACUCACAGAUGACUGGAGGUGAGAGCCUUGGAGGCGGGGGAGCCACGGCAUGGACAGAAACACUUCCGGAUCACCUUCCUGUUCCCAUGCUGCCCCACUGGGCCUCCCGCAGCAGUUCCUGUGAGAUUCCACAUCUAAGGGCACAUCCGCAUGGACUCUAGCAAGCAUGGCUGCUUCUCUGCUCCUUGGACCUACAUGUCUGUUGACUAGAACCACCCCGACAUUACUACUAAACACCUCCUAAGAUCUCCAACUUCAACUACGAAUAAAAUGCAAAUAUCUAUCAGAAAUAACAGUUAUUCUCAUCCUUAGCACUAAUAAAAUGGGAGAGAAAUUAAGCAGAUUAAGUUUAGAUCCUGAUCAAUGAUGUAACCACCUUUUCCCUAUCCUCUUGAAUUUCUAGUUACCUUGAAUUUCCUUUGAAUAACUUCUACUUUUUCUUUUUUGUAAAACAAAAAGCCAGGGGGCGGGGGAGGGCGGGGGUUAGAAAGCAUUUAAAGUUUCUCUAUAGCCUUCUACUAAAGAAAUAUCUUCUCUCUCUCAUGCUUGAUCUUGGUGAAAGAACUGACCAAGUUGACCUUUCUCAGGCAGGGCAUGUUGAUUCAAAGAGUCAAAGGUCACCCAACAUCAGAGCUAAUCGAUAGCCUUUUGAUUCCGUGGUUUUACAAGAAAUAUAAACUUAAUCAGCUUUGCAAAGCUAUUUUCAUUUCCUUGCUCUUCAGGAUAAUUUGUGCCUAGUGCUAAAGAUCAAAGUAAAGCAGAAAAGAUCCAGAAAAUCUAACAUGCUUCCUUAUUUAUUUACCUGCUUUGAUUAAAGAAGCAAUAAUUACUACAAUUUAUAGAACGACCACGCUGUGCCAACUACUUCACAUACAUUGUUGAUAAUGCGCUUGACAAUCUUGCAAGGUUGUUGUCAUGAACACCAAUUUAGUCAGAAAAGAACAGGUUUCACACAAAUUAGAUGAUGGACGAACGUCACACAGAGGCAAAGCUGGGAUUAAAACACAUAUCUGUUUAACUUCAGUCGUAGUGUUUUCACCUGUGUCCAUUCAUGGAGAAGAGGAAUCAAGAACGUGCAGGGGCGUCAUUUCCACAAACCGAAACAACAGACAUGAUGUGUCACACAGGCCCACCAAGGGUUCCCAACCCAACCUUGUAGACUGGCACAGAAAACAGCACACUGGUCUGCCCAUUCUCAAUGACAUUCAUCAUCCCAAUGACAUGGAUGUCUUCACCCUAAUAGCCGGAGGGCCAAAUCCUAAGCCUUGGCACCAUUGGGCUGUGACUGGCCUGACCUGAGCCCAGUCCCAAAAGGCAUCCGUGUCGCUCACCAGCUCUCUCCCCUCUCUGGAAGAUGAUUUCAUUUCCAAAAGGCAGUUGCUUUUAUGGACAUGAAAGGAGGAAUCUGAAACAUCCAGUUUUACAAUCUCUAACUUGUAGUUGGCUGAAUUGUAGUAAAUAGGGGCAAAUCUUACUUGUUUUUAAGAAUAAAUAUGUUAUACAUUAUACACACUCAAAAGCACAUGGCUCAAAUUAUGUGCAAAGUACAUGCAGGAGAGCACAUGCAGCUGGAAAUAUUUGACCCCACAGUGAAUUUAGCAUAUUUGGUUCAGAGCACUUCUGUUACAAAUACAUAAAGUGUUUAUGUAACCCAUUGAUUGCUAUUAUGGCACCAAUAAAACCCAACAAAUGGCAGAAUUUUUUAUACAAACGAGCUGAUGUUCAUGCAUCACAUCUUUAUCCAUGGUAUCCCUUCAGUCCGGUGUUUUUGGAAGUUCUUCUCUGCCUUUAGUUUCAGGAAUUGCAUGUGUGUUUUGUGAUCAGUGUGAAAAUGAGAAAAACUAAAUGAUAUCAUUCUCUUAGGGAAAAAAAAUCAAAUGAGAGUAAAUCUAUACAUGUAAGUUCUAACUAAAACCUAUUCAAAUUUUGUCAAAUUUGACUUUGAACUACAGUCACACAUGUGUAAAAAUGGUUCUUACAAAGCAAUGUGACUAGGUACCCUUACUCACUUCUGCCAUCAAACAGACAUCAGGUCCAGAGCCUUCUCUGCUCUGUCUUCAGAAACUGUCAACACCUGUACUCUUCAUAAGACUCGGGCCAGGUAGGCAAGCCACGUGCUUCCUGCACUCAGAUUCCUUUGUCGCCCAGAAUCUUAGGGACUUCCUCAGCGUCCCCAGAUAGUCACUUCACUCUGUCCUUCAUCUUUCAACAAAAUACAAUGUCGUAAAGCAAUUGUGCCAAUAGUUUUCUAGAAUUGCUCUGACUGCAAUUUGAGCUUUAGUCUCUAAACUUGAUAUUGCAAAACCUCCCUUACUGAUACAGCUCAACCCUCUAUUCUUAACUGUCCACAACAAUUUCUACUGCCCUUAGGCAAUAAAGAGCUGUUUUACAUGAAAAGUACUCAAAGUUCCUACCCUGAAGAUAGUAACUGCUAUGGGCCUGUACUGCUUACCACCUACCAUUCAAGCUGGAAAAGAUUGUGGCCACUUUUUCCCCCCAACACUCUCUUUUUGAUUUUUAUUUCUAGAAUGGCCAUUUAAAAAAAAAACAAAAAAACAAAAACUUAUUUUAGA